UACAGAGGUGGCAAGCGUUGUUCGGAAUUACUGGGCGUAAAGGGCGCGUAGGCGGUCCGAUAAGUCCUGUGUGAAAUCCCUCGGCUCAACUGAGGAACUGCACGGGAGACUGUCGGGCUUGAGUUCGGGAGAGGGAAGCGGAAUUCCGGGUGUAGCGGUGAAAUGCGUAGAUAUCCGGAGGAACACCGGUGGCGAAGGCGGCUUCCUGGACCGACACUGACGCUGAGGCGCGAAAGCCAGGGGAGCGAACGGG
rnacentral:rRNA from 1 species